rnacentral:rRNA from 1 species
AUUGAACGCUGGCGGCAGGCCUAACACAUGCAAGUCGAACGAGUGGCGGACGGGUGAGUAAUGUCUGGGAAACUGCCCGAUGGAGGGGGAUAACUACUGGAAACGGUAGCUAAUACCGCAUACCAUCGGAUGUGCCCAGAUGGGAUUAGCUAGGAGGUGGGGUAACGGCUCACAUAGGCGAGGAUCCCUAGCUGGUCUGAGAGGAUGACCAGCCACAUGUGAACUGAGACACGGUCCAGACUCCUACGGGAGGCAGCAGUGGGGAAUAUUGCACAAUGGGCGCAAGCCUGAUGCAGCCCUGCCGCUUGUAUGAAGAAGUCCUUCGGGUUGUAAAGUACUUUCAGCGAGGAGGCGUUACUCGCAGAAGAAGCACCGGCUAACUCCGUGCCAGCAGCCGCGGUAAUUC